AGAUGCCACAGUGGUCAUCAUUGUUUCGGUGAGCCUGGCUCUUCUGGUUUGUGCCAUUAUACCUCUUAUAUUCUACGGACACUGCCGGGGCAAUGCAGAUGGUGUUCCCCUUUAAUGAGUCUUGUUACUUAUGUGUUUCAGAAGAUCAGAACAAGAGUGAGAUUGAUUACUGUGAGGAAAAUACAGAUGCUGCUUCUUCUCAGGCUGCAAUGAGGCUGCUGGCUUUAAAAGCAGGUCCUGAUCCUGAGUCCAGUAUUUGCAUUGGCUGACAGUAUACUGCCGUCUAUCAGGCACUCGAUCCCAAAACUCUGGAGUGAGCAGGGUUUAUUCGGUCUCUGAGCUAUUCUCACUUUAUUAUCUGUAUGUUGAAACAUGUUUAAAUAUAUUUCUAUACAUUUUCUUACUUUGUAUGUCUCAUUUUUGUAAAUUUGUAAGUACAUUUUCUGUUUCUUACAAUGAUAAUCAUCACGUCUUUGCUGUCCUGUUCCUCUUCCAGAAUAGGAAUAAGGUCAGUAAUAAUAAUAUUGAAUAAGCCUCAGUUAGACACAUCUAGUACUGCCUGAAUGAAUCUGUUGUUGACAGGGCCAGGAUGAAGUUAAUAUCCUAAACAACUGUAUGGAAGAUUUAAAAUGGCUAAAUUAAAACAAGUUUAACAAAGACAUAAAGUGGAAUACAAUACACUGUAAUGUGUGUUUCCUUUUUAUGUAUGCAUUAAAUG